CUCUUCCCAUCUUCGCCAGUGCGUCUCUGCUUGGAUUACAUCCGGCCAAGAACAACGAAUCAAACCCUGGUUCUUCCUUGGCGUGCCACUUCCGAGUGCGAGUUUGUUUCUCCACAGCGAACCCCUCUGCCCUACCUCUGCCUUAGCACUAGCUGCACCUCCGAUACAGAGUAGCAGUUGCCCUAUUUCUGCAGCUCUCAAUUCAGCAGUAAACGAUCGGCAACAAUCAACGGUUGUGAUUUGAGGACUUUGACGCGAGACGAGUAGCUCGAUGUCAGAUUUGGACAUUCCUAUUGGAGG